UACGUAGGGUCCGAGCGUUGUCCGGAAUUAUUGGGCGUAAAGGGCUCGUAGGCGGUUCGUCGCGUCGGGAGUGAAAACUCGGAGCUCAACUCCGAGCCUGCUUCCGAUACGGGCAGACUAGAGGUAGGCAGGGGAGAGCGGAACUCCUGGUGUAGCGGUGGAAUGCGCAGAUAUCAGGAAGAACACCGGUGGCGAAGGCGACACGCUGGGCCGUACCUGACGCUAAAGCGCGACAGCAUGGGGAGCAAACGGG
rnacentral:rRNA from 1 species